rnacentral:RNase_P_RNA from 1 species
GUGGGAGGAAGCUCAUUGUAGAGGUCACGUGCAGAGUGCUCGUCACUCCACCAAUCACCUCGGGGAAGGUCUGAGACAAGAGCCAAUUGUCGCUCUCGCAGGGCGUCACCUGAUUCGGGUGGGCGAGUCAACAGAAAAUACUGGUCACUGUGCUGUCGUAGCAGGAGAAGCUAGAGGGCGCUUUUUCCCAGCGUUUCUAGUGGAUGUGACGCACGCUUGACUUGGAACGACUCGCGGCUGGCAAAUGAGUUCGAUGGAUGAGGUGGAGCACGACUCCAAAACCCAAUUCAGACUACUCUCCUCCCAC